GGGGUUGUAGCUCAGCGGCGGAGCGCUCACCUCACACGUGGGAGGCCCUGGGUUCCAUCCUCGGCACCACA
rnacentral:tRNA from 1 species